GAUGAACGCUGGCGGCGUGCCUAAUACAUGCAAGUCGAGCGAUGAAGCACCUUCGGGUGUGGAUUAGCGGCGAACGGGUGAGGAACACGUGAGGAAUCUGCCUUCCACCCUGGGAUAACUCCGGGAAACCGGGGCUACUACCGGAUAACAUUUUGAACCGCAGGGUUCGAAAUUGAAAGGCGGCUUCGGCUGUCACUUAUGGAUGGACCCGCGUCGCAUUAGCUAGUUGGUGAGGUAACGGCUCACCGAGGCAACGAUGCGUAGCCGACCUGAGAGGGUGAUCGGCCACACUGGGACUGAGACACGGCCCAGACUCCUACGGGAGGCAGCAGUAGGGAAUCUUCCGCAAUGGACGAAAGUCUGACGGAGCAACGCCGCGUGAGUGAUGAAGGCUUUCGGGUCGUAAAACUCUGUUGUUAGGGAAGAACAAGUGCUAGUUGAAUAAGCUGGCACCUUGACGGUACCUAACCAGAAAGCCACGGCUAACUACGUGCCAGCAGCCGCCGUAA
rnacentral:rRNA from 1 species